rnacentral:lncRNA from 1 species
AUUACAUAGGAUGUAAGUUUGUAUACUGACGUGCUCAGCAGAAAGCACACUCAUACUUCCACACUAGGUGGUCACAAAUGUUUUCCAUGCACAAGUCUACCUCUUGGUAAACACAUCAGUACAUAUGCGGUGCAGGCUGCCUCUCAAAGUGCAGGAAAAAUAAGCAGAGAAAUUUAUAAACUAAAAAAAAAGGAUCUCCCUAGCAGUCCAGCCCAGCUGUCCACUGCCAACCAGCAGCAAAUCUCCCUCUCUACCCACGAACACAGGAGCUGAGUGAAACUUCUGGUUUGGCAUCUAAAAAUACCAGCACAAGAGACGAUUAUUAGAAGUGUUCUGGUAGAGUGCUUUCAACAGCAAAGCCUGCUGGCCUCUCACCUUGCUGAGGAGAAGAUGAGGAUCCAAGGAGGAGC